UACUUCUUUCGAAAACAUGGAAACAUCCUACCGACCCCAAACUUGUGCACAUUAAUAAUGCAUUAUACAGCAUAAACAGACUUCAUAUGCAGUGUUAUAUCUACUGUUUGUUGAUUCUGUUGCAAGUAACACAUCAUCUCUCGACUCUUUUCGGUCAGAUCAACAAGCAGAACCAGAAGCACAGAGAUUGGACCAUGCGGUUAUCGGAGGAGUGGUGGCCGUCGUGGUCUUCGCCAUGUUGUGUCUUCUCAUUGUUUUGGGACGAUACUUUGCAAGACACAAAGGCACCUACUUCACACACGAAGCCAAGGGGGCAGAUGAUGCAGCGGACGCCGACACAGCCAUCAUCAACGCCGAAGGGGGCCACAACAACUCGGACGAGAAGAAAGAGUACUAUAUCUGAGUCCCGAGGCCUCUGUUGUUCUUACUAUUUAGUUUUGUUUUGGGGCGGGAUGGGGCGGGGCAUGGGGAAACUGUGGGAAGAGUUUUUGUUUAUUUGUUUGAUUUUCUUUCCUGGGGAUUGAAUGAAGUAGAAUGCUAUAUGGGCAGCUGAGAAGAUGUAGGUAUUUGUGUUAAACAGCGGGAUCAGGGUCGGGGGUGGGGUUUGGGGUGGGCAGGAUACCAGACGUUGCCAGAUAUGAGUGUAGAAAGCAUCAACACACAGCACCUCCCCAACUGCUGGUAUUUUUUCGUUCAUUUCUUGACCAUUUGCAGAAAAUUCUGUGCCUUGUUCUGAAUUUCUUUUCUUAGUCAUGCUUUAAAAGCCAUCCAUCGUGUCACACCCAAACCCCCCUCCCUGAAAACACACAUACACCACCAUCUCUGAUUAUCGACUUUAUCAGCUUUCCUAUGAAGGUACAUGAGCGCACACCUCAAUACAUUCCCACAUACUGUGGGCAUCUCCAUCAAAACAUCAUAUCCUCUGUACUCAGCAGGCCUAGUCACAUGACAGCAUUUUGAUUUACUCAAGUCAGCAGCAUCAUGAAGGGAAGUACAAGCAGCUUCCUUCCUUCCAGUCCCUCAAUAAGUUGAUGUGACCGGCGGAGAAUUGAUCUUGAACAUUGCACCUGUUUUCAUUCUGACAGGCUGCAUCUGCAUCGCUGCAGAAUGAUUAUAUCUUCGGUUUAAAUCAUUUUUUUUUUUUUUUUUUUAUACUGAAUGUGCCAGUACAUUUGAAGAAUUGCUACUGCUUGGAAAGAGCAUAGGUGCAGACAAACACUUCCUGCUACACUGCACCUUCGGAGGCUUCUCAUCUCGUUCUGCUCUGCUACACACAACCGAAAGCCCUUGCAGGUAUUUAUUGUUUUGGUAUAACGAUGUCUUAGGUUUCCUCAGCAUUUCCAUCCAGAAAUGUUUUCGCACAUGCCAUAAUGACGAAACAGUCGCCGUCACUGAAAAAGGUCUAAAUGCUAUGGCUUAUGUUUAAAUUUUUUUUUGUCUAAUGCUGUAGUUUCCCACGCAGGGCUGGUGAAGAUGACCCUCUAGCACACGUAAAUAACUACCUAAAAUAGUGUCAAAGCAAGAAUUUUUGGAGUUUUAGAGCCUGUUUUGUUAGGUUGAAGGGAGGAAGCGCCACAACCAUCAUGUUUGUAGAUGAACAGAGAGAAAAGAUUUGGAAAUGAUUUGAUUACAAUAACUUUACUACCUUAAAAUGCAUUUUAACGGCCAAAAAACAUCUGCAUUUGUGUAUCUUGUUUGUAGGGCGAGACAGUGAGGAUGUGACAUUGAUGUUAAGCAGUCCAACAGGUGUGUAAUGGUAUAUGAUUGCCUGUCAAGUUAAUUGCCUGUUUGUUCUUCCUCAGAGGGAAUAGUGGUAAUCGCAACUAGCUUUUCCUAGUGCUAUUAGUAUUUAAAUGUAAACUGCCCAAAUAUCCCAGACUCGUUGGUGCGAAAAAGCACCACGGCGACAUAAUUUCCUCUUGAAGUGUACACUGUGUGUGUUUUAUUGUUUAUAAUUGCUGUAAGUUGCUCCUCCGGGUUCCUCUUUAUGCAUAAUAUUCCUGGGCUUCAAAUGAGGUUAGUUUGAAUGGAGACCGAAACAGUCUUAUUACCAAUACAGUUUGAAAAAAAGAAGUCGAAAGAGCUUUUAAUAACAUUCCAAAUAUUUUAGGACAACCACCUGCAAUUUAAUUAGCCACAUUUGUGGAUUUUCCCCUUUAUUUACAGUCGUUGUCAACACAUGACGCUAACCAAAAAACUCAUACUCUCUUCUCUCCUGUGAGCGCAUUAGACAUUUCACCAGAGCCUAGCUUCAAACGCAGCGUACACAAUGUAAGGCGGCUUAGAUUACUAAAGUACUUUUCCUAAAAAGAAGUAUUUCUUCUCAUUUCCUCAUGACUCUCUCUGUAGUGUAAGUGAACUUAAAUGCCAUAGUUUAGGCCCUGCUGAACUCAACCUCAGUGUGUAAAUAAAACUGUGAGGCUGAGGGGGGAAAACACACUCUUCUUUAUAUUUCUUUUCUUUAAAAAAAAAAAAAAACACAAGCAUCUACUGAGACGUUUUAGGGUAUGUGCAUUAACCAUGAGAAACACUUUGGACGCUUUUGGACUUUUGACGUAGAAUAUAAAUCCGAGGGAAUGUCUUGCAGCUUGAUGGUUGCCGUUGCAGUUGAGAUAUACAGUUGUGUGGCUUGUGCUUAACUAGUGAGCAUCAUUUAGCUUUGGUCUGGCAGCUUCUGAACAGGAUUUCAGAUAUCCCUUCUUCACUUUUGCAUAUGUGAGAGACAUGACAUCAGUAUACUAAUUUGUGGUAUUUAGACUGGGCCGAUGUACACUUUGUUCAGCUUGUUAUGUUAGACCUGUUUUAAUGUGAUUAAUGUGGUUUAAUCCACUCUAGUAGGCAUCUGAGGACUUCGAUGGGAACACACGGUCACGCCAGUGAUCUGUUUUGUCCUCUUGUACAGCAAGUUUGGAAAAGGUCUAAUUGAAAGUGUCCAAAUAUAACUGCUUGUUUUGAGAUGUGAACUGGGUACGGUUUCGGUUUUGUCAUUUCUGUUGUCGUGUUUGAUUUUGUUGCUUUAACAGUGCCCCUUGUUCGAUGCUGAUGGAACUUGAUUUCUUUUAUUUGAACUUGACAGUUUCAUUUAAGCCCUGUCUCAGGUUCACGGACAAUAAAUGGUAUGUUUGCAUCUCAGGUAGAAUGCAAAGUUACGGCCCCCGAUUAAGAAAGUGGAAAUUACAUGCAAACCGGAUCAAGCUGGAUCUCAAAUCUAAUGGUGAAUUUUACGUUAGAACUAUCUGUUAUGUAUUUUCUGUUGUUGUUGUUGUUGUUGUUGUUGUUGUUGUUUAUUUGGUGCAUUGUAAAAUGUGUAUGUAAUGUACACACUAUGUUGAGUAUUAUCUUUUUUUAGACCUACUUCACACAGAGAGGACAGGAAAGGACAAACCAACUGCUCUCAUGAUAAAAUUUAAUCAUUUUAUGGCUUUUAGAAACAAAUAAAAAACUAAGCAUGAAGGUUCACUUGUAAAUCUAACCAUCAGUGGGAAAUGUACAAAUUAAAUUAUACAAAUUCACCCCCAAUUCGGCUAAAAAGUCAAAUAGUUCAGAAUUGCCGUGAGAGUGAGUUGGGGGCAAAGAAGUAACAUUCUGAAAUCAAAGUCGACAUGUUUCUCAUUCUGGUUCCAGAUAGUUUGGAAAGUUUUGAACGUUUAUCAUUUAUUGUUUUUAGGUUGGUUAUUUUUUUGUCUUUCUGCUGUACUUGGGCAAUGUUACUGUGUAUUAAUGAAGAAAAAACGAUAUCCACAUUCCCAUACACAUUUUGUAUUUGUUCAUAUUAGACAUUUUUACAAAAAAAAUAAAUAAAAAAAUGGAGAGUUCUUGUCUUAAUAAAAAAGAAAAGAAAUUAAUGUUCAAA